UUCCAUUAUGGGUGGAAGGCUGGUUAAACCGUUUGGUUUUCGACCACUAGGACCCGGGUUCGAUUCCCGCAUUGGACA